CAGUAGCCACGGUAAUACGGAGGGGGCUAGCGUUGUUCGGAAUUACUGGGCGUAAAGCGCACGUAGGCGGCUUUGUAAGUUAGAGGUGAAAGCCCGGGGCUCAACCCCGGAAUUGCCUUUAAGACUGCAUCGCUUGAAUCGCGGAGAGGUGAGUGGAAUUCCGAGUGUAGAGGUGAAAUUCGUAGAUAUUCGGAGGAACACCAGUGGCGAAGGCGGCUCACUGGUCCAUUACUGACGCUGAGGUGCGAAAGCGUGGGGAGCAAACAGGAUUAGAUACCCGAGUAGUCCCUGUCUCUUAUAC
rnacentral:rRNA from 1 species